rnacentral:rRNA from 1 species
UACGGAGGAUGCAAGCGUUAUCCGGAAUCAUUGGGUUUAAAGGGUCUGUAGGCGGUUUAGUAAGUCUGUGGUGAAAGACCGUCGCUCAACGGUGGAACGGCCAUUGAUACUGCUGAACUUGAAUUAUUAGGAAGUAACUAGAAUAUGUAGUGUAGCGGUGAAAUGCUUAGAGAUUACAUGGAAUACCAAUUGCGAAGGCAGGUUACUACUAAUGGAUUGACGCUGAUGGACGAAAGCGUGGGGAGCGAACAGG